rnacentral:rRNA from 1 species
GAUGAACGCUAGCGGCAGGCUUAACACAUGCAAGUCGAGGGGUAUUGGUUUUCGGACCAAGAGACCGGCGCACGGGUGCGUAACGCGUAUGCAAUCUACCUUUUGCAGAGGGAUAGCCCAGAGAAAUUUGGAUUAAUACCUCAUAGUAUAGCGACAUCGCAUGAUGAUGCUAUUAAAGUCACAACGGCAAAAGAUGAGCAUGCGUCCCAUUAGCUAGUUGGUAAGGUAACGGCUUACCAAGGCUACGAUGGGUAGGGGUCCUGAGAGGGAGAUCCCCCACACUGGUACUGAGACACGGACCAGACUCCUACGGGAGGCAGCAGUGAGGAAUAUUGGACAAUGGGCGCAAGCCUGAUCCAGCCAUGCCGCGUGCAGGAUGACGGUCCUAUGGAUUGUAAACUGCUUUUAUACGAGAAGAAACACUCCAACGUGUUGGAGCUUGACGGUAUCGUAAGAAUAAGGAUCGGCUAACUCCGUG